rnacentral:rRNA from 1 species
GUGCCAGCCGCUGCGGUAAUACGUAUGUCACAAGCGUUAUCCGGAUUUAUUGGGCGUAAAGCGCGUCUAGGUGGUUAUGUAAGUCUGAUGUGAAAUGCAGGGCUCAACUCUGUAUUGCGUUGGAAACUGUGUAACUAGAGUACUGGAGAGGUAAGCGGAACUGCAGGUGUAGAGGUGAAAUUCGUAGAUAUUUGUAGGAAUGCCGAUGGGAAGCCAGCUUACUGGACAGAUACUGACGCUGAAGCGCGAAAGCGU